AGGGACAUGCAAAGGAUGUAGCUCUUCCAUCGGCAAACAGAUAAAGGGCGGUUAUUUACUUCGAUACAAGAAACAAGUUCUGUGGAGCCGGUGGUCGGAGGAAUGGGUAGUGCUGUACGAUGACUCGACGAUGGCCUGGUUUACGGUAAGUGC